rnacentral:misc_RNA from 1 species
UCCGGUUUGACACCGGCAGUCUCCUAUGAGUCCCCGACAUAACUCGCUGGCAACAUAGGACAGGGGUUGCGCUCGUUGCGGGACUUAACCCAACAUUUCACAACACGAGCUGACGACAGCCAUGCACCACCUGUGCUACACCCUCGAAGGCGACUGCUUUUCGGCAGCUUGCAGUAGCAUGUCAAGCCCUGGUAAGGUUCUUCGCGUUGCAUCGAAUUAAAGAACAUGCUCCGCUGCUUGUGCGGGCCCCCGUCAAUUCUUUUGAGUUUCACCCUUGCGAGCGUACUCCCCAGGUGGGAUGCUUAACGCGUUAGCUUAGACAGUGCAUCUAAAUCGACGCACCACCGAGCAUCCAUAGUUUACGGCGUGGACUAC